GUGCACCAGGCGCGAAACCUCCGCAAUACACGAAAGUGUGACGGGGCCAUCCCGAGUGCCGUCCGCUGAGGACGGCUUUUCCCCAGUGUACACAGCUGGGGGAAUAAGGAGAGGGCAAGCCUGGUGUCAGCCGCCGCGGUAAUACCAGCUCUCCGAGUGGUGGGGACGCUUAUUGGGCCUAAAGCAUCCGUAGCCGGCUGGGCAAGUCCUCCGUUAAAUCCAACGAUUCAAUCGUUGGGCUGCGGGGGAUACUGUCCAGCUUGGGGGCGGGAGAGGCCGACGGUAUUCCCGGGGUAGGGGUGAAAUCUUAUAAUCCCGGGAGGACCACCAGUGGCGAAGGCUGUCGGCUAGAACGCGCCCGACGGUGAGGGAUGAAAGCU
rnacentral:rRNA from 1 species